GGAAAAUAAACCUAACAAAGGCAGGCCAGGAAGCUUCCUCCAGCCAGAAAGAAUGUGAGAUCACAGCCUACCUGCCUCCCUCCCAAAACUUGGUAAGGUAUCAGAGCUGAGAAGAUCACUGCUGGUGACAGGUGCUUGAUUCAGCACAUCAUGAAAGCCUAGAAGACUCAGGGAAGUGACUCAAAGUCCCAAGAAAGAAGUUAUACUGAUGAAAGAACCACUUAAGGGAAUACAGACAGCUCUGUUUGUACGAAUGACAGCAGAAUGUCAUUUUUCCUCAGUUUCCAUGGGUGCAUGGCACAGCUGAGUUGUGCCUGUCCUGACAGUUCUCAGCUGAUGGACACAUUGGAAGAAACAGCUGUUUGUGAUAUUACAUUGUACACAAUUCUGCUUAAAGAAGACAUUAGAUACGCUGAGGGCAUUUGCCUUGUGCUCUCAACAUGGAGAAUGUCUGCAGCUGACAAUCAACCCAGUGAAGCAAAAAGCAAUGUGUAGUGGAGGAGAAAUUGUGUAUUGGAGUGUUGACAUAUUCUAUUUAUAAAUUUCCUGUUAAAAGUACAUGUUCCAUGAACAGAGAUCACAGAACAACAGAAUCCCAGAAUCACAGAAUUACAGAAUGGGUAGUGUUGGAAGGGACCACAGUAGGUCGUCUGGCCCAGCAUCCCUGCUCAGAGAUGGGAAAAUGCUGCUUGUAAAUCCUUUUGCAAUGUGUUUGGCGGUCCUAUUUCCACACUCAGGUGCCUGGCUGAAGAAUGAAGUGUUAUUACAGUGAACUGUUGUUUAUGUUUCUUUUUAACAACUGUGGUCUCAUAAUGUCAUUCAUAAAACCAAAAAUGAACACCAGUUUCCAUCCUGUCUUCCUAAGAUUCAAGAUUUGUUCUUGACGAACACAAAUAGGUAAUACUAUCAUCUGGCUUAAACAACACAGAAAAAAAAUAUUAAAGUUGUGAUGUUAUUCAAGGAUGUUUAACCCCUAAUUUAUAACAAAUUAUAGUACAGGACAUCAGUCCUCAGAAAUAUUCCUGAAGUGCUCUGAUGUUUUAGAUGUUGCUGAUUUCAAUCUGAUAGUACUGUUGGUUCAAAAAAGAAAUAGUUCUUUGGACAGAAAUCAAAUAUCUUGUUGAUACCUAAUUUAGUGUCUUCAUGAAUUAACAUUUUAUAAGAGCUUGCUUCCUCUCUUUGAAAGCAGUAGAUAAGUAUAUGGAAUAACAGACUCCCUUAAUUAUCUUGAACAUACUAAUAUGACAUACUUUAAAACACUAGUAGUGUCUUGUAGAAAUUAAUGUUACUAAAUAAUGAUACUAGCUAAUUAAAUUGAAAGGAAAAUUUGUAUGUGUGUGACAGAAAGGAGGCAAAACAUAUGACAUGGCAUAAAUCCCUAUUCCUGUUCAAAUUAGCAACUAAUUCACUGGUUGUGUUAGUUACCCUUCCAAUCAAAGUAUGGGAGGAAGAGUGAA